rnacentral:rRNA from 1 species
AGCAAUACGUUAGUGGCGCACGGGUGAGUAACACGUGGGAACCUAUCUUUCGGUUCGGAAAAACGGAGGGAAACUUCCGCUAAUACCGUAUACGCCCCUUGGGGGAAAGAUUUAUCGCCGAUUGAGGGGCCCGCGUCUGAUUAGCUAGUUGGUGAGGUAAAGGCUCACCAAGGCGACGAUCAGUAGCUGGUCUGAGAGGACGAUCAGCCACACUGGGACUGAGACACGGCCCAGACUCCUACGGGAGGCAGCAGUGGGGAAUAUUGGACAAUGGGGGCAACCCUGAUCCAGCCAUGCCGCGUGAGUGAUGAAGGCCUUCGGGUUGUAAAGCUCUUUCGCACGCGACGAUGAUGACGGUAGCGUGAGAAGAAGCCCCGGCUAACUUCGUGCCAGCAGCCGCGGUAAUACGAAGGGGGCUAGCGUUGUUCGGAUUUACUGGGCGUAAAGCGCACGCAGGCGGUCUUUUUAG